rfam:Ornithorhynchus anatinus chromosome X1, whole genome shotgun sequence.
AGCAGCGUGGCUCAGUGGAAAGAGCCUGGGCUUCGAAGUCAGAGGUCAUGGGUUCGACUCCCUGCUCUGCCA